rnacentral:lncRNA from 1 species
UACAAUAAACGUUCAUUUUUAUGCUAAUUAAAACAAAGCAUUGUUUUAUUUACAACUGCGCUCAUUCGUAUUUGCUCUUGAUGUCCUUCCACAGUUUCUGCAACAGGAAAAAGAGCAAUUCGUUUAGUUCUAGUUGGUCUUACAUAAGAGUCGAGUGCAACUUACGCCUUUGUUGAUGGACUCGUACAGGGCAGUAGCGGAGACAUCGAUGGCGCGCUCGAAGAAGAAUGUAGACGCGAUGAUGGCCACGGCGUAGGUGGACGUACGCUUGAACAAGGUAUUGUAGAUCACCUUCAUUUUUGCGAGACUUCCAAUUCGGAUUUUAUAAUUCCUGGCAAAAUAUUACGCUUGCACGCCAAAUACACAGCUGAUGAUGAUAAGUUGUGUUCGUUAACGUCAAACA